GGGAGGGAAAUAUGAAUUUGCCAUACCCGACCAGACGAAACGAACUUGUUUUCUGCCAGCAAUACCCACAGCUCUCUUUUAGGCACUGGUACUUCCCUUAAUUUCUAGAUAGGUCACAGAAGCUAGAUUAUCUGUCUCAUCUAAGGACACACUAGCAAAUGGCAGAGUCAAGACCAAACCAUUGCUGAUUCCAAAGCCCAUGUUCUUUCUAAUCUACCCCACUACCUUGGCUUACCAUUUAUGCAUUUCAUUUUUUAGUGCUGGAGAAAGGGGUUAAAAAUAGCUUUAUUUCUAUUUCUCCCUAUAAGAGCAAAGUCAAUGCACACGUUGGUACAAUAAUAAUAACAGAACUCACAGGGGUUGUGCUCCUCCUUUGCGCCAGGUCUGGGCCACAUGCCUUGGAGGAGUUAUCUUAUUUCGUCUUUACAGCUCCGUGGAGUAGGUACAAGCAUUUGGGAUCUCCUUUUACAUGUGAGGGCACUGAGGCCCUCCCAGGUUAUGUAUACAUGCUCGAGGCCACGCAGUUAGAGAGGGGAGCUGGGCUCGGAAGCCAGCAGAGUGACUCCCCCGCCUGCCUCAGUCACUGUCCCAUCCAGGCAGUUCUUACUGGGAAGUCAUUAGAAGAACACUCAGAGUUUCUGACAGCAAUUUUGCUAAGAGAUAUUGAUUCGUUAACUAUUUUAACUUGCUCUUUGUUUCCUCUUUUUACUUACUCUUGUCCUCAACCAUCGUAUCUGUGAAACCAUUGUUUUAAUGUGCUAGUUUCAGAUUUUCUAAUAUACAUGAAACUAAACACACAUUAAAAUAAAUGAAAAAGUGAUAAAAUAAAAUUUAAAAAUUCAUCUGUAUACCACCUACCAGUAACUUUUAUGCUCUGCCAGUGGUAAGAAUAUUUUCCUCCAUCACUGUUCAGACAUAUCACUUGUUAAUGAGGUAGAAAAAGGUCAGAUCAUACCCAACACUUCUGAAUGGGGAAGAAAGAGGCAGGACCCGGACUCAAGGAUUCGCCUCCAGACCUUUCCCUCUGCACCACCAGCCUCCCUCCUGUGCCUCCUCUAUGUUCCCUGGAAUCCCGAGGGUGCAGCUGGGGGCUUCAGAAAGCUUCAAGGAUUCCCAUGCUCCUUGGAAUCGAGCCCAGAAAUGGAAAUCUGAUAUAGAGCUAGUGAGGCAAUGAAGCCCAGCCUUUGAAAACGGACAGACCUGCCAUGGAGUAAGAGGUAGCCCUGAGGCAAACCCUGCCCCCCACGGCCCACUCCCAGAGUGAGGAGACUUCAGGCCAUUCCCACUCAUCCAUGGGGCUAGAAGACUGAAUGUGGCAGCCACCCGCAAGCCUGCUGACCGGCUCCAUAGCAGAGUAAUAUCCAGAGAAAGAGGCUUUGAGGUGUUAAGAGGCCAUGUGGGGAACCCCAUGUGGCAGGGAACUGUGAGCAGCCUCUUGGAGCUGAUGACAUCCUUGACUGACAGCCAGCAAGAAGCUCUCGGUCCUACCAGAGGAAGGAAUUGAAUUCUGCCAACAACUUAAGUGAGCUUAGAAGUGAGUCCUUACCCACACAAGUCCCAGCACGUGUGGCAAGAAUUGGGAUAUGCUGAAUUGGAAGAAGGAAAAAAAGUAAAAAUAUUAGCAAAAUAGUUUAAAGGAUAAGCUAUAAGAGAAGAUGGAAACAACUGACAGUGAUCCAAAAGGGAAACAUUAAGGCAAGAGGAAAUGUUAAUGUAGGCUAAAAACACUUCUGCCUGGGAAGAAAAUGACAAAUUCCCCUAAAGGGCGAUUCACACGCAAUAAUAAGCAUAGUAAGAGUUGAAUGCACACCUACUGAAUUAAACAACAAGAAUAUUGACUGAAUUAAACCACAAGAAUAUUGAAAAUGAUUAGUUAGCAUAUGGGAUCUUCAUUGUACCAAACUUUUAUUCAUUCAGCAAAUAUUAGCAUGCAGUAACUCUUUUAUAGUUCACGGCAACUCCAUGAGGUAAAUAAUGUUGUCAUUCUCCAUUUUACAGACAAGGAGGCUGGAAAAGCUUAUGGAACUUGCCCAAAUCGCAUGGCUAGAAAGUAAAAGAGCUGGGUUUUGAAUUCAGGACUCUCUGAUCCUAAUUUUCUCGCAUUUAAUAUAAGAAAUCUCAAGGGCUAUGGUGGUAAUAGAAAGGAAAUGCAGGGCACAGCCUAUGUUAAGAAAUGCCCACGUGCAGAUGGAAGGAAAGACAAUGAGCUAUUCUUAGGGGCUGAGGAGCACAGCAGUUGCAGAAAAUGCCCCAGAGGGAUGAGGCACCAAGAUAGAGUGUGAGAACUGCUCUCAGGAUAAAACAGUAAGAAUUGUGGAUCCCCUGUUCUUUGAUUUUUAAAACCACUAUGCCAAUAUUGGAGCAAAUUAAAGAGAUUACCUGCAUCAGAAUCACUUGGGAAUCCUGUUAAAGUCCAGAUCCCUGCACCAGACUUCAGACCAUUUUUAACAAGCCACCAUUGACUGGGAUGCAUACCAAAGCUAGAGAAAGAUUCUGCACUAAGAUGUGAGUAGGGGACACUCCUCACUUAUAGUAACAACCAUAGCGACAGAAUGUGUUUGAGUAACACUGACAAGAAGGUUAGCUCACUGGGGAGCCCAAAUCACAUAUUUAUCCAGCCCAAAUCCACGGCAUGGGUAAAAAAUUUUUUAAAGACCAUGAAUAAGGUGAUCCCCCCACUCCACCCUAAACAACCCAAGCGAAUGAAUGAAUGAAUAAGACAUGAUAUAAGCUGAAACAUGUGCCCCUGGACUGGUCCCCCUGGAUGAGGCUGCAGUGAAUGGAGGUGAACACAGCACUGACUCUGCUGGGCAUCCACAGCUGGAUCACAAAAAUAGAGGCUGGUGCAUGUCCCGUCAGCAGUAGCCAAGCCAGAGGGAAGGCUGGGUGGACUGUCAAUUUCAGAAACGCCAGAAAGGUGCCUGAAAUUUGAGAAUUUCUAGAACAAAAAAGAUUCUAUGCUUUUUUUAUCUCUACAUGUUGGAUGUGUUUUUCAUUCAUGUUAUUCUACAUACAGCAUGACUUUUGGUACAGGGUAUCAAAGAAGUGGUCAAGCUGCUCAUGAGAUUGUGGCCAGUCUUGCCUCUUCUAGCUAGAUAAAGGCUGUGGAACACUGGAUUUCACCUUCUUCACUUAAAAUUUUUUUCCAGCUUUAUUGAGAUGUAAUUGACAUACAACAUUGUAUACAAUGUUUAAGAAUACAAUGUGUUGAUAUGAUAUAAUUAAUAUGUUGCAAAAUUAUAACCACUGUAGUGUUAGCUGACACUUCCAUCAUGUCACAUAAUUGCCAUUUCUCUUCUGUGGUAAAGACAUUUCAGGUCUACUCAGUUAACAACUUUCAGGUAUACAAUACAUUAUUGUUAACUAUAAUCACCAUGCUGAAUGUCAGAUUUCCAGAACUUCGUCUUCUAACUAGAAGCUUGUAUCCUCACCUUCUUUGAUUUUAUACUUCCUGGUAAAAGGGUGAAAUGCAGACUGUAGAUGAAACAGAGAGAUGACUUGUUAAGGAAUCUAAUGGACCCUUUCCUCUCUGCCAUUUCUGUAGAAAGGUUUUAUUCCAGCAUCUGUAUUUUAUCCCAGCUUCUUACAAGUCUCUCUUAAUACAGACCAUUGCCUGAAUCCCUGGAGCCCGUGUACUUCUAAGGCAUCCCUGCGGUGUGUUUACUGUUAUUACUCUAGCCAACAGACGUGAAACUGAGAUGAUAUUUCUAGAAAUAAAAUGGCUCCUCAUUUCCCUACCUGUCUCAGAAUCACACUGGAUCCUGAAACAAAGCCAGGAACACCACUCAUAGCAACUCUCUAGCUGCAAGGAGAUUUGUUUUCAAAGCACCUGACAAGCUACAUCUGAUUCAUCCUCGAAACCGACUUGUCAGGGGAAUAAACACCAAGUGUCGGAACUUCCCAAGAAAUCUAGUGAUGAAAAGCCCUUUAACAAUGAACAAAUUAAAUUCAGUUCUAACGCCAGGAACAGAAAGAAAGCGAAAUGAAGAGGCACAGAAGAGCAAGACCAGGACUACUUCCCAGAACUUCUGCUGCCAGUGUCCUUGUCCCCACGGUGAGCCACAGCCACCCCCCACCUCUGCAGAACCUCCAACACUAGCAGGUACUGUAUACAUUUGAUGAUCUAGGAUUUAAGUCCAUGGCCCUUCCAUUACCGAGAAGUAGAACGGAGGCAGCAUGGGGCUUGCUGGUGCAGACAUCUCAUCAUUCCAAGCAGUGGUAGCCACCAAGAAGAAAGGAGAUGAGAAGGUGAAGCAAAAAAGAAGGGAGGAAGGGAAAGAGGAAAGGUACAGAUAUACAAGAAGCUAAAGGGAAGAGCAGAGCCAACGAGGGCUUUCCACUCUUCACCGACAAUGGCAAAAUGCCUUCUCAUCUGAAUGGCUCCCAUGCUUCACUCCAUUGGAGAACUUCCCUUCUCUCACCCCUUCAGUCUACACUCGGGCUCUUUGCAGGCACCUCUUCUCCCACCUCCUCUGCCUGCCCCCGGCUGAGCAGAGUGCCCCUCCUGUGCAUUGUGCAUUCUGCCAUGCUUUGUUCUGCCCACUAGGCUGGAUCGUGUGGCAGAAGCCCCAUCAGUGUCUGCUGAGCUGGACUGCUAAAAGGUUCUGCACCUCUCACAGAUCCAGGGUGUAAACUGAAGAGUAUAUACUUCCUGGGGAUGAGUUCACAUCACCCAAGUCUAUGCAACUGACACAAGCACACUGGUUGAAAUACGUAUUGGUGAUAUCUUUGGCAUUGCUCAGAACAGUCCAGAGCGGGCCGUUGCUUAUCCAUCUCUGCAUGUCCCCAGGAGGCAGUUCUUCUCUCUGCGCACCUCUGACACUUGGGACUAGAGCUGGCCUCCAUUUGGCCAGUAGGUGGCAUGAGAAACACGGAUCACAGGACAAGGACUAGUUCUUUACAUUUCUUUUGUAGACAUCAUGACCAAGGACUGCGCUCUACACGACCCAGUCGAGGUCUCUGAGGCCCUGGAGGAUGGCAGAGCCACACGAUGAAAGCGACUAGGUCCGUGCAUCACUCUGUGGAGCAUAGUGCUUCCCCCACACUGGCCUGGGACGUGAGAAAGAAAGCCUCCGCCUACGUGUCCCACUGCUCCUCGCUCCACCUUUGCCUGCGCUCCUGGAACACCCACGUGACCUUCUGCCUGGAGCCCCCACGAGACCUCAAGGAUUGCAGGCUUUCAUCCUUAGUCUGAAGCUUUAUUUCAGAAAACAAGUUGGAAGAAAAGAAGGGUAUCUGGAAAACUUACCUCAAGAAACAUUUUUUCCAUGAAACUCUCAUUGAACCUUGGAGUCCUGAACAGGCAUAGCACCUUGGAGGGCAGACAUUGCUGUGCCUGAGAAUAAGAGAGCCCCUGUGGUUUCCUUCUCAGCUCCGUGCUUUACAAAUGAUGCACCUUUGUGUCUUUACAGCAGAGACUAUGGUCUAGUCCUCUCCUGGGUGCUCUGGUCCAUUGCCAAGUCCUCUAAAGCCUGAUGGCACUGUCCUCGCAGCCUGAGAGCAAAAUAACGUGGUGUUAAGGCCCAGGAAGCAAGCUCAUCUUGUACAAACCUGUUCCAGCCCCAGAAGCAACCAUUUCUUUGAGGAGCCCUAGUUCUUUUUGGUGGGCGAAGGUACUAGAGAUUAAGAUCUGGGCACCAGAUUGAAGCCAUCUCUGCAAGGGCAGGGACUUGAUCUUAUCCAUGGCUGCCUUCCCAGGACCUGAACAAGCAUCCUCAGAAACAUCAGGCACUGGUUUACCUGGUUGGGAUUCAGCAAUAAACCAGACCACGUGGGUGCUGACUUCAUGGAACCCAUAUUCCAGUGCAGAAGACAGAUAAACAAUUAGUGAAUGGAUUCAUGAGUAAUUUGAGGUAUCGGCCAGUACUAUGAAGACAUUUUAUUCAGGAGAAGUGGAGAACAAGUGAUAGCACAGUGGAGCUUCACCACUUUGUAACCAGAGAGAUGAUUCGCUUAAAAUACUCCACGGAUGGCCAAGGCCCAGCCUGCGUCGUUGCCUUUCUUGGGACCAAUUUCUCUGGCCAGAGAAGGACUCCUUCCCACUCUACCCACCACACUUGGCCGCAGCACCAAUCCACCACGAGUUUAGCUGAGGAUUUGUUUCCCUUUAAGGAGCUGAGGUACGCCUGAAGCCGCCAGCAGCCAUCUUGUCUGAAAAUGGAAUCAACGGGAGCAAAGCAGAGGAUUUACCUACAGGAAUUAAAGCAUUAGCAAGUUCCUGAGCGCAAGGAAAUGAACGCAUUCCAAUGCGUGACGGCAAAGCCCAGGAUCGCAAAGAGAGUGAUUCAGAUGCCAUUACUGAACUAGUAGAACCUGCUUUUAAUGGCCAGAAGAUGUUCAUUUCCUGAGGCUCGGGACCGCUGAUGCUCCCGAUCCCCUUGGUGUAUGAAGAGGACAUAACGCACAACAACCUGAAAUGCACCGGGAAGUGGAUAUCCCACCCUGGAGACGCGGGAUUAUUAGAGUGAGGGACAUGGUGAGAAGACUGCCUCACAA